CCCUAGCCCUGAUAGAAAUGGUUACCCCGCAGCUUGCGUCGGAGGGUGGGUUUUUGGUGUGGGACCUUCGGCUUCGCUCAGGGUGACAGCGUUGGAGUGCACGGGCGCGAGGAGUAGGAAUGGAUAGCAGGAAUUAAC
rnacentral:sRNA from 1 species